CAAUAGCGUAUAUUAAAGUUGUUGCAGUUAAAAAGCUCGUAGUUGGAUUUCUGCUGAGGACGAUCGGUCCGCCCACUGGGUGAGUAUCUGGCUCGGCCUUGGCAUCUUCUUGGAGAACGUUGCUGCACUUGACUGUGUGGCGCGGUAUCCAGGACUUUUACUUUGAGGAAAUUAGAGUGUUUCAAGCAGGCGCACGCCUUGAAUACAUUAGCAUGGAAUAAUGAGAUAGGACCUUGGUUCUAUUUUGUUGGUUUCUAGAGCUGAGGUAAUGAUUAAUAGGGAUAGUUGGGGGCAUUCGUAUUUAACUGUCAGAGGUGAAAUUCUUGGAUUUGCUAAAGACGGACUACUGCGAAAGCAUUUGCCAAGGAUGUUUUCAUUGA
rnacentral:rRNA from 1 species